CAAGUCGAGCGAGAUCGUAGCAAUACGAGGACAGCGGCGAAAGGGAGAGGAAUACGUAGAUAUCUGCCCCUGAGACCGGGAUAGCGUCGGGAAACUGGCAGUAAUACCGGAUAACGUCUUUGGACCAAAGGUGUGAUUCCGCUCGGGGAUGAGUCUACGCCCUAUUAGCUAGUUGGUGGGGUAAUGGCCUACCAAGGCGAUGAUGGGUAGCGGGUGUGAGAGCAUGAUCCGCCUCACUGGGACUGAGAACUGCCCAGACGCCUACGGGUGGCUGCAGUCGAGAAUCUUUGUCAAUGGACGAAAGUCUGAACAAGCGACGCCGCGUGCGGGAUGAAGGCCUUCGGGUUGUAAACCGCUGUCGUAGGGGAACAAAUGUAGAGGGGUUCUCCCCUUUAUUUGAGUGAUCCUAGGAGGAAGGAGAGGCUAAGCUCGUGCCAGCAGCCGCGGUAAGACGAGCUCCCCAAACGUUAUUCGGAAUCACUGGGCUUAAAGAGUUCGUAGGCGGCUCAGCAGGUCAGGUGUGAAAUCCCACAGCUCAACUGUGGAACUGCGCUUGAAACCGCUGGGCUUGAGGGAGACAGAGGUAAGCGGAACAGAUGGUGGAGCGGUGAAAUGCGUUGAUAUCAUCUGGAACACCGGUGGCGAAAGCGGCUUACUGGGUCUCUUCUGACGCUGAGGAACGAAAGCUAGGGUAGCAAACGGGAUUAGAUACCCCGGUAGUCCUAGCCGUAAACGAUGAGCACUAGUCUGUGGGGACCCUCACAUCCUCUCGGACGUAGCGAAAGUGUUAAGUGCUCCGCCUGGGGAGUAUGGUCGCAAGGCUGAAACUCAAAGGAAUUGACGG
rnacentral:rRNA from 1 species